rnacentral:lncRNA from 1 species
AAAAAGCCAAACACUAAAUAUCAACAUGAGAGUUCAGCCAGGUAUGACUUUAUCACUCUGAUUUUGCGUAUGUCCUGUUGACACGUCACAGCAUGACAACACACACUGAGGCAAGUUGUUUGUUUAGCCAGGGCCUUUCUAACCAUCCCUAUCUAUAUGUUUCCCUUCGUGAACCCCGUUGAGCCUUAGCCAUUUUAUUCAUCAUAAA